rnacentral:rRNA from 1 species
UAGGGAAUCUUCGGCAAUGGGGGGAACCCUGACCGAGCAACGCCGCGUGAGUGAAGAAGGUUUUCGGAUCGUAAAGCUCUGUUGUUAAGGAAGAACGAGUGUGAGAAUGGAAAGUUCAUACUGUGACGGUACUUAACCAGAAAGGGACGGCUAACUACGUGCCAGCAGCCGCGGUAAUACGUAGGUCCCGAGCGUUGUCCGGAUUUAUUGGGCGUAAAGCGAGCGCAGGCGGUUAGAUAAGUCUGAAGUUAAAGGCAGUGGCUCAACCAUUGUAGGCUUUGGAAACUGUUUAACUUGAGUGCAGAAGGGGAGAGUGGAAUUCCAUGUGUAGCGGUGAAAUGCGUAGAUAUAUGGAGGAACACCGGUGGCGAAAGCGGCUCUCUGGUCUGUAACUGACGCUGAGGCUCGAAAGCGUGGGGAGCGAACAGGAUUAGAUACCCUGGUAGUCCACGCCGUAAACGAUGAGCGCUAGGUGUUAGGUCCUUUCCGGGACUUAGUGCCGCAGCUAACGCAUUAAGCACUCCGCCUGGGGAGUACGACCGCAAGGUUG